AUUGAACGCUGGCGGCAUGCUUUACACAUGCAAGUCGAACGGGCUGGGGGCAACUCCGGUCAGUGGCGAACGGGUGAGUAAUACAUCGGAACGUACCCCGUUGUGGGGGAUAACCCACCGAAAGGUGGGCUAAUACCGCAUACGCCCCAAGGGGGAAAGCGGGGGACCGCAAGGCCUCGCGCGAUGGGAGCGGCCGAUGUCGGAUUAGCUAGUAGGUUGGGUAAAGGCUGACCUAGGCGACGAUCCGUAGCUGGUCUGAGAGGAUGAUCAGCCACACUGGGACUGAGACACGGCCCAGACUCCUACGGGAGGCAGCAGUGGGGAAUUUUGGACAAUGGGGGCAACCCUGAUCCAGCCAUGCCGCGUGAGUGAAGAAGGCCUUCGGGUUGUAAAGCUCUUUCGGCCGGAACGAAAUCGCACGGGCCAAUACCCUGUGUGGAUGACGGUACCGGAAGAAGAAGCACCGGCUAACUACGUGCCAGCAGCCGCCGUAAAAC
rnacentral:rRNA from 1 species